GACGAACGCUGGCGGCGUGCUUAACACAUGCAAGUCGAACGGAAAGGCCCUGCUUUUGUGGGGUGCUCGAGUGGCGAAAGGGUGAGUAACACGUGAGUAACCUGCCCUUGACUUUGGGAUAACUUUAGGAAACUGGGGCUAAUACCGGAUAGGAGCUUCUGCUGCAUGGUGGGGGUUGGAAAGUUUCGGCGGUUGGGGAUGGACUCGCGGCUUAUCAGCUUGUUGGUGGGGUAGUGGCUUACCAAGGCUUUGACGGGUAGCCGGCCUGAGAGGGUGACCGGCCACAUUGGGACUGAGAUACGGCCCAGACUCCUACGGGAGGCAGCAGUGGGGAAUAUUGCACAAUGGGCGGAAGCCUGAUGCAGCAACGCCGCGUGCGGGAUGACGGCCUUCGGGUUGUAAACCGCUUUCGCCUGUGACGAAGCGUGAGUGACGGUAAUGGGUAAAGAAGCACCGGCUAACUACGUG
rnacentral:rRNA from 1 species